rnacentral:rRNA from 1 species
GACGAACGCUGGCGGCGGGCUUAACACAUGCAAGUCGAACGGAAAGGCCCUGCUUUUGUGGGGUGCUCGAGUGGCGAACGGGUGAGUAACACGUGAGUAACCUGCCCUUGACUUUGGGAUAACUUCAGGAAACUGGGGCUAAUACCGGAUAGGAGCUCCUGCUGCAUGGUGGGGGUUGGAAAGUUUCGUCGGUUGGGGAUGGACUCGCGGCUUAUCAGCUUGUUGGUGGGGUAGUGGCUUACACAGGCUUUGACGGAUAGCCGACCUGAGAGCGUGACCGGCCACAAUGGGACUGCGAGAGGGCCCAGACGGCUACGGGGGGCAGCAGUGGGAAAUAUUGCGCAAUGGGCGGAAGCGUAAUGAAGCAACCCCGCGUGCGGAAUGACGGCCCUGGGGUUGUAAACCGCGUUAGCCUGUGACGAAGCGUGAGUGACGGUAAUGGGUAAAGAAGCACCGGCUAACUACGUG